UUAAGAUACUAAGAGCAUACGGUGGAUGCCUUGGCGAUAUCUGCCGACGAAGGACGUGACAAGCUGCGAAAAGCUGCGGAGAGAUGCAAAUAAUCGGCGACCCGCAGACAUCCGAAUGGAGAAAUCCGGCUGUGAUGAUGCACAGCCAUCCAUGCCCAAGAGCAUGAGAAGGGAACCGGGCGAACUGAAACAUCUAAGUACCCCGAGGAAAAGAAAUCAAACGAGAUACCCCAAGUAGCGGCGAGCGAACAGGGAAGAAGCCCAAACCGGUGAAGGAAACUUUACCGGGGUUGAGGACCAUCAGAACCGCGAAGAACCUUAGCCGAAACUGUUGGGAAACAGUGCCAAAGACAGUGAAAGCCUGGUAGGCGAAAAAGAGAAACGCGGAGAUGGCACCAGAGUACCGCGGGACACGAGAAAUCCCGUGGGAAGCAGGGGGGACCACCCUCCAAGGCAAAACACAGAUAUCGACCGAUAGCGCAUAGUACCAUGAGGGAAAGGUGAAAAGCACCCCGGGAGGGGAAUGAAAGAGAACCUGAAACCGUAUGUUUACAAGCAGUCGGAGACCGCUUAAUAAUAAGGUCGACGGCGUGCCUAUUGAAGAAUGAACCGGCGAGUUACGAAGCCUGGCAAGGUUAAGCAGGAAAUGCGGAGCCGAAGCGAAAGCGAGUCUUAAGAGGGCGCAAGUCAGGAAGCGUAGACCCGAAACCACAGUGAUCUACCCAUGUCCAGGUUGAAACACAGGUAAAAAUGUGUGGAGGACCGAACCUAUAUCCGUUGAAAAGGGUUAGGAUGAGGUGUGGGUAGGGGUGAAAUUCCAAUCGAACGUGGAGAUAGCUGGUUCUCCCCGAAAUAGCUUUAGGGCUAGCCUCAGGGAAAAGAUUGCAGGCGGUAGAGCACUGAUCAGGAGAGGGACCUACCCGGUUACCAAACCCAGUCAAACUCCGAAUGGCUGCAAUCAUACCUGGGAGUCAGACUGCGACUAAUAAGGGCCGCAGUCAAAAGGGAAACAGCCCAGACCAUCAGCUAAGGUCCCCAAUGCCGUGCUAAGUGGCGAAGGAUGUGGCAUUUCAUAAACAACCAGGAUGUUGGCUCAGAAGCAGCCACCAUUUAAAGAGUGCGUAAUAGCUCACUGGUCGAGAGACGCUGCGCCGAAAAUGUCCGGGGCUCAAGCACGGAACCGAAGCUAUGGCAUGAUAGCAAUAUCAUGGGUAGGGGAGCGUUCUUAUAAGGAAGAAGCAUGACCGGAAGGACAUGUGGACAAAUAAGAAGUGAGAAUGCCGGUAUGAGUAUCGAAAAGAAAGGUGAGAAUCCUUUCCACCGAAAGCCCGAGGGUUCCUGAGCAACGAUCGUCGACUCAGGGUAAGUCGGGACCUAAGCCGAGGCGGAAAGCGUAGGCGAUGGACAACAGGUUGAAAUUCCUGUACCGGAUCAAGUCGAUUGAGCGAAGGAGCGACGCAGGAGGGCACAUGAUCGCGCGGCUGGAAGAGCGCGUCCAAGUGCGUAUGUUGCAGCAGAGGAAAACCCCUGCGGCUGAAAGCAGAGACAUGAAGGGGAGUUAAAGGAAACUUUGACGAACUCAUGAAUCCCACACUGCCAAGAAAAACUUCUAGCGAGACAAGAUCCGCCCGUACCGUAAACCGACACAGGUAGGCGGGGAGAGAAUCCUAAGGUGCGCGGGAAAACCCUCGUUAAGGAACUCGGCAAAUUGCAUCCGUAACCUAGGGAGAAGGAUGGCCCCCGGUCAGUGAAGAGCAGAAACGCUCAGAGCUAAAAGGGGCGGCAGAAAAGAGGCCCAAGCAACUGUUUACCAAAAACACAGGUGCCUGCGAAAGCGAAAGCUGAAGUAUAGGUGCUGACGCCUGCCCGGUGCCGGAAGGUUAAGGAGAGAAGUUAGCGAAAGCGAAGCAUCGAACUGAAGCCCCGGUGAACGGCGGCCGUAACUAUAACGGUCCUAAGGUAGCGAAAUUCCUUGUCGGGU
rnacentral:rRNA from 1 species